CCUACGGGAGGCUGCAGUGGGGAAUAUUGGACAAUGGGGGCAACCCUGAUCCAGCCAUGCCGCGUGUGUGAAGAAGGCCCUCGGGUUGUAAAGCACUUUCAGUGAGGAAGAACGCCUGGUGGUUAAUACCCAUCAGGAAAGACAUCACUCACAGAAGAAGCACCGGCUCAACUCCGUGCCAGCAGCCGCGGUAAUACGGAGGGUGCGAGCGUUAAUCGGAAUUACUGGGCGUAAAGCGCGCGUAGGUGGCUUGAUAAGCCGGUUGUGAAAGCCCCGGGCUCAACCUGGGAACGGCAUCCGGAACUGUCAAGCUAGAGUGCAGGAGAGGAAGGUAGAAUUCCCGGUGUAGCGGUGAAAUGCGUAGAGAUCGGGAGGAAUACCAGUGGCGAAGGCGGCCUUCUGGACUGACACUGACACUGAGGUGCGAAAGCGUGGGUAGCAAACAGGAUUAGAUACCCUAGUAGUC
rnacentral:rRNA from 1 species